rnacentral:rRNA from 1 species
GAUGAACGCUGGCGGCGUGCCUAAUACAUGCAAGUCGAGCGAACAGACGAGGAGCUUGCUCCUCUGACGUUAGCGGCGGACGGGUGAGUAACACGUGGAUAACCUACCUAUAAGACUGGGAUAACUUCGGGAAACCGGAGCUAAUACCGGAUAAUAUAUUGAACCGCAUGGUUCAAUAGUGAAAGACGGUUUUGCUGUCACUUAUAGAUGGAUCCGCGCCGCAUUAGCUAGUUGGUAAGGUAACGGCUUACCAAGGCAACGAUGCGUAGCCGACCUGAGAGGGUGAUCGGCCACACGGGAACUGAGACACGGUCCAGACUCCUAAGGGAGGCAGCAGUAGGGAAUCUUCCGCAAUGGGCGAAAGCCUGACGGAGCAACGCCGCGUGAGUGAUGAAGGUCUUCGGAUCGUAAAACUCUGUUAUUAGGGAAGAACAAAUGUGUAAGUAACUAUGCACGUCUUGACGGUACCUAAUCAGAAAGCCACGGCUAACUACGUG